CGUCAGAGUGGAUGUCCUCGAUAUAUAUAAUAUAUAAAAGCGACCAGAGCCACCUAUUAGUCUACCUACGAUAUUUAAUGUCAUUAACGGAUCUACUACGAUUAAAUGUCAUUAUUUUAAAGAUGUGUACAUGUACAAAACGCAAGAGCGUAAAGUGUUAUAGUCUACUUACCAUUUAAGCAUUAUCGAACAAACUGUGCCUCGUUGCUAACGGAUAGUGCAGUCACCCACCACAAGGGAUUUAGUUCAGCCGUGUUGCAAUUACUAAACCGAAUAUUUGUAAUAAGUGAUUCGAAAAAUAUGACUGAAAUGGAGAAAAGCGAACGGAUUAGUCAUAUGGACGCACUGCUGUUUGCUCUGGCGCUGGAAGUGGGUCUGUUGCAGCUUAGGAUACAAGAGGGCAGCUCCGAGCUUCGCAGUCGGUACUGGAGAUACAGCGACGAGCGCGAAAAGGCGCAACACAACAAGCUCAUUUUGGAUCGGUCAGUCACACGUAUAGCUGGUAGAUGUCUCUGAAUCCACCUAUUACAAUAUGUAUUUGAAAGGUGGCGGUUCUCAAUUCGUCGGUAUUUUUUAUUUUUUGUAAACUGUUCCCCGCUUUCUUCUUUCGGAGAUGCUGGAGAUGUUGACAUCUCCUGAGGAUGCCUCGUAGAGAGGCGAAACACGUGUCGAGUUUUGUACUUUUGGUGGUGGGUUGUUAUAUUUAUUUGCGUAUUUAUUUUUGCGGUGGGAGGGUGGGAAUAUUAAUUGCAUGUAAAAAUACACAAGUAAGUAUAACGGGUUAGAACUGUUUGACUAACACGUUAUUUUCUCGCGGAUUAGCAAAGUAAUAUUAAAUUGCUUGGGCCAAUUUCGAUUUUUUAAGAACCAAGUUAAUUUCAUUCCAUUCCUAAGUUAGCGAACUCUUAAGUCCCAACAAAAACAUUUUCAUGUAAAAAGUUGCCAAGACGAAACCAUAAGGCUCGCACUGUAAAAAAGUUAUCAGAUCUCAUGUAGAGCCAAGCUUCUAACUCUACAAGCCCUAACUUCACACACUCUACACCUUA